rnacentral:tRNA from 1 species
GGGGGCGGAUUUGGCCUGGUGGCUGACCCGGACUUCAAAUCCGGCCGUGAGGCGGCGAUCCCGUCUCAGGUGUGUUCGAUUCGCACACGUCCCCGCCA